UACGUAGGGACCGAGCGUUGUCCGGAAUCGUUGGGCGUAAAGAGCGUGUAGGCGGCUUGCUAAGUCUUGCGUGAAAUCUCGGGGCUCAACCCCGAGCGGUCGUGGGAAACUGGCAGGCUAGAGUGCGGGAGAGGAGAAUGGAAUUCCUGGUGUAGCGGUGAAAUGCGCAGAUAUCAGGAAGAACACCCGUGGCGAAGGCGGUUCUCUGGGACGGUACUGACGCUGAGACGCGAAAGCGUGGGGAGCGAACAGG
rnacentral:rRNA from 1 species